UACGAAGGGGCGAGCGUUGUUCGGAAUUACUGGGCGUAAAGGGCGCGCAGGCGGCCUUAGAAGUCAGAUGUGAAAGCCCCGGGCUCAACCUGGGAAUGGCAUUUGAUACUCUGAGGCUGGAGUACGGGAGAGGAGAGUGGAAUUCCCAGUGUAGAGGUGAAAUUCGUAGAUAGUUGGGAAGAACACCGGUGGCGAAGGCGGCUCUCUGGGCCGUAACUGACGCUGAGGCGCGAAAGCGUGGGGAGCAAACAGG
rnacentral:rRNA from 1 species